rnacentral:rRNA from 1 species
GACGAACGCUGGCGGCGUGCUUAACACAUGCAAGUCGAACGGAAAGGCCCUGCUUUUGUGGGGUGCUCGAGUGGCGAACGGGUGAGUAACACGUGAGUAACCUGCCCUUGACUUUGGGAUAACUUCAGGAAACUGGGGCUAAUACCGGAUAGGAGCUCCUGCUGCAUGGUGGGGGUUGGAAAGUUUCGGCGGUUGGGGAUGUACUCGCGGCUUAUCAGCUUGUUGGUGGGGUAGUGGCUUACCAAGGGUUUGACGGGUAGCCGGCCUGAGAGGGUGACCGGCGACAUUGGGACUGAGGGACGGACCAGACUCGUACGGGAGGCAGCGGUGGAGAAUAUUGCAGAAUGGGCGGAAGCCUGAGGCAGAAACGCCGCGUGCGGGAUGACGGCCUUCGGGUUGUAAACCGAUUUCGCCUGUGACGAAGCGGGAGUGACGGUAAUGGGUAAAGAAGCACCGGCUAACUACGUG